UUUACAGAAUGUGUCAACUCUUUGGCGGCGUCAAAAAAAGAAACGAGUCAUUAGAGAGAAGCCACCAUGUAAUAUGGCAAAUCGUGAGUCCAGAAGACUGAGGGGAUGCUCACCUUUAGAAAAAACUACACAGAUGUUACCCAUAACCGAUAUGGAUAAUGAUUCCUGGAUAUCAUUCAAGGACACGUGGAAGUCCAUUAGUGCCCACAAG